UACGGGGGGGGUAAGCGUUGUUCGGAAUUACUGGGCGUAAAGGGCUCGUAGGCGGCCAACUAAGUCAGACGUGAAAUCCCUCAGCUUAACUGGGGAACUGCGUCCGAUACUGGAUGGCUUGAGUUUGGGAGAGGGAUGCGGAAUUCCAGGUGUAGCGGUGAAAUGCGUAGAUAUCUGGAGGAACACCGGUGGCGAAGGCGGCAUCCUGGACCAGCACUGACACUGAGGAGCGAAAGCCAGGGGAGCAAACGGG
rnacentral:rRNA from 1 species